rnacentral:ncRNA from 1 species
GUACGGAAACGUACUAAGUGAUCACUUUCACAUUCAGGGAAACCCCGGAAUUCAAAAAAAUGGGCAAUCCUGAGCCAAAUCCUGUUUUCUCAAAACAAAAGAAAGGUUCAGAAAACGAAAAAGGAUAGGUCCAGAGACUCAAAGGAAGCUGUUCUAACAAAUGGGGGCACUGGUAGAGGAAAAAACGUCAGAAAGGAUCAAGAAAAAACCUAUCUAUUGAAGAGUAUAUCAAAAAAAUGAUUAAUGAUGGCCCGAAUCUCUAGAUGUUUUUUGAUAUGCAAAAAAAAAGAAGAAUUGAUGUGAAUUCAUCCGACAUUGACGAAAAAAUAGAAUUUUGAUUCAUCAAAUCAUUCACUCCAUAGUCUGAUAAACUUUUUAAAGAAUUAAUAAAUCGGACAAGAAUAAAGAUAGAGUCCCCUUCUACAUGUCAAUACCGGCAACAAUGAAAUUUAUAGUCAGAGGAAAAUCCGUUGACUGUAAAAUCGUGAGGGUUCAAGUCCCUCUUCAA